rnacentral:lncRNA from 1 species
AAUUUUUAUCACUAAUUAGUUUUAUUAAAUAUUAUAUGCUUAAAAUAUUAUGGGAUAAUUUUUAUUACUACUAUGAAGAGAAAACUAAAGUUUGAGUCUGAAUUUGCAAUUAAAAUUACCUCAAUUUUAAAUAGUCUAAAGUUUGCAAAUUUUAUAGAUUAAAAGAAAAUAAAAUACUGAAUGGAAUAUUUUGACAUAUAAAAAUAACUUCAGGAAAAACUAUUUCAAUUAAAUGUAAGCAAACAUACACAUUUUUUCAUUUUGAAAAAGGGGGGUUGAAACUCUCCAAUAUACUACCAGUCAUUAAAACGACUUUUUAGAAAAAAGUGACCGUACGAAACUCUGACGACAGGGCAAAAACUAAAGAAGACAUAUUUGUCUUUAAGUUAAGACCAUUUUUAGCCGUGUGUUAUUUGGGGAGAUUAAACUCGCGAUCUAGACGACUUUUUACACUUCUGUCACCGCACUAAUAU